GCCCAGAUGGUGGAAUUGGUAGACACGCGGGACUUAAAAUCCCGUUUCCUCGGAAGUGCGGGUUCGAUUCCCGCUCUGGGCACCA
rnacentral:tRNA from 2 species